GAAGGAUCAUUAAAGAGUAAGGGUGCUCAGCGCCCGACCUCCAACCCUUUGUUGUUAAAACUACCUUGUUGCUUUGGCGGGACCGCUCGGUCUCGAGCCGCUGGGGAUUCGUCCCAGGCGAGCGCCCGCCAGAGUUAAACCAAACUCUUGUUAUUAAACCGGUCGUCUGAGUUAAAAUUUUGAAUAAAUCAAAACUUUCAACAACGGAUCUCUUGGUUCUCGCAUCGAUGAAGAACGCAGCGAAAUGCGAUAAGUAAUGUGAAUUGCAGAAUUCAGUGAAUCAUCGAAUCUUUGAACGCACAUUGCGCCCCUUGGUAUUCCGAGGGGCAUGCCUGUUCGAGCGUCAUUACACCACUCAAGCUAUGCUUGGUAUUGGGUGCCGUCCUUAGUUGGGCGCGCCUUAAAGACCUCGGCGAGGCCUCACCGGCUUUAGGCGUAGUAGAAUUUAUUCGAACGUCUGUCAAAGGAGAGGACUUCUGCCGACUGAAACCUUUUAUUUUUCUAGGUUGACCUCGGAUCAGGUAGGGAUACCCGCUGAACUUAA
rnacentral:misc_RNA from 1 species